rnacentral:tRNA from 1 species
CGGGGCGUAGCUCAGCUUGGAUAGAGCGCGGGCUUUGGGAGCCUGAGGCCGGAGGUUCGAAUCCUCUCGCCCCGA